rnacentral:rRNA from 1 species
UACGUAGGGCGCGAGCGUUGUCCGGAAUUAUUGGGCGUAAAGAGCUCGUAGGCGGCCUGUUGCGUCCGCUGUGAAAUCCCGGGGCUCAACCCCGGGCUUGCAGUGGAUACGGGCUGGCUAGAGGCAGGCAGGGGAGAACGGAAUUCCCGGUGUAGCGGUGAAAUGCGCAGAUAUCGGGAGGAACACCGGUGGCGAAGGCGGCUACCUGGACCAGCACUGACACUGAGGCACGAAAGCGUGGGGAGCAAACAGG